rnacentral:rRNA from 1 species
GACGAACGCGUGGCGGCGUGGAUUAGGCAUGCAAGUCGAACGGUAUCAUCCUUCGGGGUGAGAGAGUGGCGAACUGGUGAGUAACACGUAGGUUAUCUACCCUCAAGACGGGGACAACCCAGGGAAACUUGGGCUAAUACCGGAUGUGAGCAACUUUUAGUUGUUUGAAAGGUGGCGUAAGCUGUCGCUUGGGGAUGAGCCUGCGUCCUAUUAGUUAGUUGGUGAGGUAACGGCUCACCUAGGCAAUGAUAGGUAGGCGGCCUUAACGGGUGGUCGCCCACACUGGGAUUGAGAUACGGCCCAGACUCCUACGGGAGGCAGCAGUCGAGAAUAGUCUACAAUGGUCGGAAGACUGAUAGUGCGACGCCGCGUGAACGAUGAAUCCCUUCGGGGUGUAAAGUUCUUUUAUAUGUGAGCAGUGCUUCUUAUAUUAACAGUAUGGGGAGAGAGAUAUUAGCAUAUGAAUAAGCAACGGCUAACUCCGUG